AAGUUAGGGCGAGGUUUUUCUCCUGUCCCUAACAGGGCUGUGGGGGUACAUAUGGGCGUUGCAGGGCCCCUCCCCCCAUCCGAUCUAAAUGGAACCGGGCUUCGACUUUGCUCAAGUUAGGGCGAGGUUUUCCUUCUGUCUCUAACAGGGCUGUGGGGGCGCAUAUGGGCGUUGCAGGGCCUCUCCCCCCAUCCGGUCUAAAUGGAACCGGGCCUUCGACUUUGCUCAAGUUAGGGCGAGGUUUUUCUCCUGUCCCUAACAGGGCUGUGGGGGCGAAUAUGGGCGUUGCAGGGCCUCUCCCCCCAUCCGGUCUAAAUGGAACCGGGCCUUCGACUUUGUCGGGAUGAGGUUUCCCUUUUGUUUCUGAUACGGUUUGUUUG
rnacentral:lncRNA from 1 species